UAACGACUUCCCCACUGUCUCCAGCAUCGACUCAGUGAAAUUGAAUUGCCCGUGAAGAUGCGGGCAACCCGCGGUUAGACGGAAAGACCCCGUGCACCUUUACUACAGCUUUGCAGUGGUAUUAGUGGAUGAAUGUGUAGGAUAGGCGGGAGGCUUUGAAGCAGUGGCGCCAGUCAUUGUGGAGCCAACCUUGAAAUACCGCCCUUUUAUUUUUUGAUAUCUAACCGUGGCCCGUUAUCCGGGUCCGGGACCCUGCAUGGUGG
rnacentral:rRNA from 1 species